rnacentral:tRNA from 1 species
GGUAGCUCAGCUGGAUAGAGCAACGGCCUUCUAAGCCGUGGGUCGCAGGUUCGAAUCCUGUC